rnacentral:rRNA from 1 species
UGCCAGCCGCCGCGGUAAUACGGAGGGUGCAAGCGUUGUCCGGAUUUAUUGGGUUUAAAGGGUGCGCAGGCGGAAUGAUUAGUCAGUGGUGAAAUCCUACAGCUCAACUGUAGAACUGCCAUUGAUACUGAAGUUCUUGAAUGUAGUUGAGGUAGGCGGAAUGUGUUGUGUAGCGGUGAAAUGCAUAGAUAUGACACAGAACGCCAAUUGCGAAGGCAGCUUACUAAGCUACGAUUGACGCUGAGGCACGAAAGCGUGGGGAGCAAACAGGAUUAGAUA